GACGAACGCUGGCGGCGUGCUUAAUACAUGCAAGUCGAGCGAGGCCCAUCCAGUGGCAACACUGGGGAAGGCCGAGCGGCGAACGGGUGAGUAACACGUGAGCAACCUGCCCCGAAGUCUGGAAUAACAUCGGGAAACCGGUAGCUAAUACCGGAUUGCCCCACCUGACCGCAUGAUCGGGUGAGGAAAGAUUUAUCGCUUCGGGAGGGGCUCGCGGCCUAUCAGCUUGUUGGGGGGUGAUGGCCUACCAAGGCGACGACGGGUAGCCGGCCUGAGAGGGCGACCGGCCACACUGGGACUGAGACACGGCCCAGACUCCUACGGGAGGCAGCAGUGGGGAAUCUUGCGCAAUGGGCGAAAGCCUGACGCAGCGACGCCGCGUGAGGGAUGACGGCCU
rnacentral:rRNA from 1 species